AUUGAACGCUGGCGGCAGGCCUAACACAUGCCAGUCGAGCGGAUGAGUGGAGCUUGCUCCCUGAUUCAGCGGCGGACGGGUGAGUAAUGCCUAGGAAUCUGCCUGGUAGUGGGGGACAACGUUUCGAAAGGAACGCUAAUACCGCAUACGUCCUACGGGAGAAAGUGGGGGAUCUUCGGACCUCACGCUAUCAGAUGAGCCUAGGUCGGAUUAGCUAGUUGGUGAGGUAAAGGCUCACCAAGGCGACGAUCCGUAACUGGUCUGAGAGGAUGAUCAGUCACACUGGAACUGAGACACGGUCCAGACUCCUACGGGAGGCAGCAGUGGGGAAUAUUGGACAAUGGGCGAAAGCCUGAUCCAGCCAUGCCGCGUGUGUGAAGAAGGUCUUCGGAUUGUAAAGCACUUUAAGUUGGGAGGAAGGGCAGUAAGUUAAUACCUUGCUGUUUUGACGUUACCAACAGAAUAAGCACCGGCUAACUUCGUG
rnacentral:rRNA from 1 species